rnacentral:tRNA from 1 species
GCCCGCCUGACCCAACUGGCAGAGGCGCCGCGUUCAGGACGCGGAGGUUCCCGGUUCAAAUCCGGGGGCGGGCA